rnacentral:rRNA from 1 species
UUGGUGAGGUAAUGGCUUACCAAGGCGACGACGGGUAGCCGGCCUGAGAGGGUGACCGGCCACACUGGGACUGAGACACGGCCCAGACUCCUACGGGAGGCAGCAGUGGGGAAUAUUGCACAAUGGGCGAAAGCCUGAUGCAGCGACGCCGCGUGAGGGAUGACGGCCUUCGGGUUGUAAACCUCUUUCAGUAGGGAAGAAGCGAAAGUGACGGUACCUGCAGAAGAAGCGCCGGCUAACUACGUGCCAGCAGCCGCGGUAAUACGUAGGGCGCAAGCGUUAUCCGGAAUUAUUGGGCGUAAAGAGCUCGUAGGCGGUUUGUCGCGUCUGCCGUGAAAGUCCGGGGCUCAACUCCGGAUCUGCGGUGGGUACGGGCAGACUAGAGUGAUGUAGGGGAGACUGGAAUUCCUGGUGUAGCGGUGAAAUGCGCAGAUAUCAGGAGGAACACCGAUGGCGAAGGCAGGUCUCUGGGCAUUAACUGACGCUGAGGAGCGAAAGCAUGGGGAGCGAACAGGAUUAGAUACCCUGGUAGUCCAUGCCGUAAACGUUGGGCACUAGGUGUGGGGGACAUUCCACGUUUUCCGCGCCGUAGCUAACGCAUUAAGUGCCCCGCCUGGGGAGUACGGCCGCAAGGCUAAAACUCAAAGGAAUUGACGGGGGGCCCGCACAAGCGGGCGGAGCAUGCGGGAUUAAUUUCGAUGCAACGCGAAAGAACCUUACCAAAGGUUUGACAUGGGACUGGGAAAUACCUUGGAAACAAGGUGCCCCCGCUUUGCGGGUCCGGUUCACAAGGUGGGUGC